rnacentral:rRNA from 1 species
AUGACCGACCUACGUGGGAAUCUUGACAUACAUGCAAUUGCGGACGUCCUAAAAAUCUGGCCACUUAUCACUGGGCAGAAUUUGUUGGAGCAGCCAGAUUCUUUCAGGUGGAGGCAAACAUCGGAUGGAUCAUAUUCAUCAAGUAGCGCUUAUCACCUUUUCUUCCUUGGCCGGGAGUUUCUUCCUGGCGCUGCGGAGCUGUGGACUUCAUGGGCACCUCUGGAAAUAAAAUUUUUUGUCUGGCUAGCCAUCCACGAUCGGCUGUGGACCGCAGAUCACCUUGCAAGACGGCAACUUGAGCACCCGGAGUUUUGUGUGCUAUGCGCACAAGAGGAGGAGAACCUGAAUCACAUUCUGCUCGGUUGCUCCUUUGCCAGGGAAGUCUGGUACAACAUCCUACUUUUGUGGCAUCUACAUAGAAGAACUCCAACCUCAACUGACACUAUCAAGGUGGUGGCCGGCGCUAAGCAACGCGGUUCCUAG